UACGUAGGGUGCAAGCGUUGUCCGGAAUUAUUAGGCGUAAAGAGCUCGUAGGCGGUUUGUCGCGUCUGCUGUGAAAACCCGAGGCUCAACCUCGGGCCCGCAGUGGGUACGGGCAGACUAGAGUGCGGUAGGGGAGAUUGGAAUUCCUGGUGUAGCGGUGGAAUGCGCAGAUAUCAGGAGGAACACCGAUGGCGAAGGCAGAUCUCUGGGCCGUAACUGACGCUGAGGAGCGAAAGCGUGGGGAGCGAACAGG
rnacentral:rRNA from 1 species